rnacentral:lncRNA from 1 species
UAAAACCAAAUUAAAAAUGUCAACAAAAAAAAAAAGAACAAUCAUCAAACAUAGAAAAUAUAUAGAGAGAAGUCAUGAGUGAAGAUGAAUAGUCAUUGUCAUUAAAAUGGUACAAUGCUUGAUUAACCACCGUCUCCUAGGUGAAAGAUGAAUAUUCGAACAAUCAAUUUGCUUUUAUGGCGCUACAUUGCGACAACCAAGUUUCUUGGUGGCAAUUUCCUAUUACAAAAAUGUCAUAUGUUAAUCUCCUUGUCUACCCCAUUUCCUAAUCUUAGCGGGUGUUUCAAUUCAAAGAGAACUUACGUUUUAAUAAUCGUGGUGUUUCUUGGUUCUAUCUCUUUUCUUAACCCAUAAAAUAUCAUAACAAAAGAGAACUUACGUUUUAAUAAUCGUGGUGUUUCUUGGUUCUAUCUCUUUGUCUUAGUGGAAAACACAUUGUAGAAGAGAAAAACACAUAACAGAAUAUAAAGGUCAAAACGAUUACUCUCUCUCUCUCUCUCUCUCUCUCUCUCUUUCUUUUGUUUUUGGAAGAUGUAUUUUUUCCUCUUUGCUUUCUGGAUUAUUAAUUUGAGGGCAUCUACAAACUGAAAAAGAUACAAAAUAGUGAUUGAUAAUCAAAAGUGCAAAUUAUAAAAAGAUGCAUCAAUUGGAGUAACUUAUAUGAAGGAAUGAUGAUAGUGCCAGAAAUGCAUGUUAAAUGGCAUGUUUUUUUUUAUGUGAUAACAAUGAAUGACAUAUUGGCAUUGUCAUAUACUCAUAUGCAAACAGUCACUUGCACUUUGAAAAAGAUGUUGGGUUUUCCUCUUUCCUGCACCAAUUAAUUAUUGAACAUGAUAAAAAUAUCAAAAGUUAAAAAGAGUGUAGAUAAAAUAGGCUACACCAAAAGAGUGUUUUACCUUUAUUAGAUGUUAUAGAUAUUCUUGUUAAAAAAUCAAAUAAACUGAAGAUAUAAAAUAGAUGUC